rnacentral:lncRNA from 1 species
UUAUCGCUUCCCCAUUCGUUUAUUUUUUUAAAUUAAACUUAGCUGAAAAUAUAAAUUAAUUAUAAUUUGAAUUUGGGACUUCGAGUAUUCAACCAUUCAGUUUUUUGCCAUUUACGCUAAGGACGGUCGGUCAAGCAGGACAAUUCUCGGAGUAUUAUAACGUGGAUUUUUUAUUUACCAAAAUUUGGGUGGAUUUGAACACGGAAU